UCGACGACAUCGCGGCGUCCGGCCGUCGCCUCCACGAGCACGAGCAUGAGGACAUCACCAUACGAGCUGGGGGCUGGGGCAGCAGGUUCUGGAGGUGUCUUCCAUCGGUGGAGCAGAAGAAGCGGGCUCACAAUGGCAUGUGCAGAUCUUUGUGAAGGGAACAAUUAUGUUCUAUUGAUAUUCAUCGAAGCAGUGGAGAACAUCAAGAAGGAAUUUUUCCGGCUACCAUAUAUAAGGAUAGCAAGCAACUCAAUUAAACAUUACUGGAAUGGUUCUGCUUUGGAGCUGCAAAUCGUACUCUAAUACCAUGGACAGGAGCCUUUGAAACUUUUGCAGCAGGGCCACGGCAUAGCGUAGGAGCCCUGCACGCGGUCUACAAGGCGCCAUGAUC